GGCAGCAGAGGGCAAGCCGCGACUAGGAUUCCCAAGCCCUUCACAGGCCCUGACCUCAUUUCCUGUUGCAGCUAGGCUCCCUGCAUUGUAUUAUUUCAGUGUAAUUUGUAGACUGGUUAACAUGAACUUGGCAACACCUUCUUCACACGCAGCGCCAGUACUGUAGCUUGUUUACCUGGAAGCAGUGGAUAAGUUGCAGAAUCAUGGAGCCGAAGCUUACAAUGAUUAAUCCCGCACAACAAACAGGCGGGCCGGCUGUCUAAAGAAGCCCAACUAAUCAUCACCAACAGGCGGGCCGGCUGUCUAAAGAAGCCCAACUAAUCAUCACCAACAGGCGGGCCGGCUGUCUAAAGAAGCCCAACUAAUCAUCACCAACAGGCGGGCCGGCUGUCUAAAGAAGCCCAACUAAUCAUCACAAACAGGCGGGCCGGCUGUCUAAAGAAGCCCAACUAAUCAUCACCAACAGGCGGGCCGGCUGUCUAAAGAAGCCCAACUAAUCAUCACAAACAGCUGCUACCAAUAAACAUACAAGGAGGGGGAGGAAAGACAAUCAGUGGCAGCUAAUAGGCCGGUGACGACGACCGCAGAGUGCCACCCGACCGGGAAUGGAAGCCACCCUCGGUCGGACUCGUGACAGACAGAAUAUGAAUAGAAAAGGACCUGAGCCCUAGGACCAUGCCCCAGGACUACCUGACAUGAUGACUCCUUGCUGUCCCC